rnacentral:tRNA from 1 species
GCCUGGGUGGUGGAAUUGGUAUACACGCAACACUUAAAAUGUUGUGAGUGAAAACUCAUGUCGGUUCAACUCCGGCCCCAGGCA